rnacentral:lncRNA from 1 species
AAGGAAGGCAUCGCUGCUGGAGGUGUGAUGGCCAUUAAUGCCACUUUAUGGAGGUGCUGGAGACCUCCUCCUCCACAACCUAGCACGUGGAAUUCGCAAAACUGCCAAAGGUGGAGCCAAGCACCAAGCUCACCUUCCUGUGCUUGCACCCAAAUGCAACGAGCCACUCAUGCCAGCUGGGGGAGGCCCUUUGUGUAGAACACUAAGUCUACCUCUUUAGGGUUGAUGACAACAAGAAACCCAGGAACGGACAGGCCUCUCAGACUGACAAUCAGAGAACGCCCGUCAGGCGGGGCUGCAGCUGUGUGGUAGUUAAGGACUAUGGCAAAGAAUCUCAGGGCAAGGAUGUCAUCAAAGAGAACUUCAAAUGCAAGAAAUGA